AAACUUUCAACAACGGAUCUCUUGGUUCUGGCAUCGAUGAAGAACGCAGCGAAAUGCGAUACGUAAUGUGAAUUGCAGAACUCAGCGAACCAUCGAAUCUUUGAACGCACAUUGCGCCCGCCGGUAUUCCGGCGGGCAUGCCUGUCCGAGCGUCAUUU
rnacentral:rRNA from 1 species